UAUUGCACGUUCUUUCGCCAUC
rnacentral:miRNA from 2 species